rnacentral:lncRNA from 1 species
AUUUUGUGUUGCUGUAAAUUUUCAUCGUAAACCGCUGAAAUUUUUCGACGAGAAUUCUGCAAUCGCAACUUGCACCAAUUUCCUUGCUGUUAUACUACCGAAAUUUUCUUGAUUAAAUUAGGCAUCCUUGCUGUCAUAUAAACUGUGAUUUUUCUAUAAAUUCCCUCCUCAAUUCUCUCACGUUUUUUGUGGAAAUUACGUCGAGAAACCAUUGUUUCUUCGACGACAAUUCUACUCUUACAAGACAGCACAUACUUGCUGCAACUUCCAC